UUAUGCUUGUAGCUGUGUGGUGUAUGGGUGACUAUUCUAUCCCUCUCUCUCUCUUCAUGUGCAACGGAGGGAGUACCACCAUACAAUGGAUCAACCAACCACUCCAUCAUCUGAACAGGAGGAAACCUCCAUUGAGUGCUACCUAUUCCAGUGGACAAGAGCAUCAGAAUAUUAAGAGACAUCAAA